UUUUCGCGUUAAGGAUAGCAGUGUAAAUCCUUUUUUAUUUGCUGAAUUAAUUCAGUAAAUAAAAAAGAUUGCAACGGAUAGCCUGUUAAAAC
rnacentral:sRNA from 1 species